rnacentral:pre_miRNA from 1 species
CAUUCGCGCCUCGUGUUCAUCGGUGACUUUAGUGAUAAAACAAUUCGACUAAGGCACGCGGUGAAUGCCAGUUGCGUAUGC